rnacentral:rRNA from 1 species
UGGGGAAUAUUGGACAAUGGGCGAAAGCCUGAUCCAGCCAUGCCGCGUGUGUGAAGAAGGCCUUCGGGUUGUAAAGCACUUUUGUUGGGAAAGAAAUCCUGUCGGCCAAUACCCGGCGGGGAUGACGGUACCCAAAGAAUAAGCACCGGCUAACUUCGUGCCAGCAGCCGCGGUAAUACGAGGGGUGCAAGCGUUACUCGGAAUUACUGGGCGUAAAGCGUGCGUAAGCGGUUCGUUAAGUCUGUCGUGAAAGCCCUGGGCUCAACCUGGGAAUUGCGAUGGAUACUGGCGAGCUAGAGUACGGUAGAGGAUGGUGGAAUUCCCGGUGUAGCGGUGAAAUGCGUAGAGAUCGGGAGGAACACCCGUGGCGAAGGCGGCCAUCUGGACCAGUACUGACGCUGAGGCACGAAAGCGUGGGGAGCAAACA